UACAGAGGUCUCAAGCGUUGUUCGGAUUCAUUGGGCGUAAAGGGUGCGUAGGCGGCGCGGUAAGACGGGUGUGAAAUCUUGGAGCUUAACUCCGAAACUGCAUUCGAUACUGCCGUGCUUGAGGACUGGAGAGGAGACUGGAAUUUACGGUGUAGCGGUGAAAUGCGUAGAUAUCGUAAGGAAGACCAGUGGCGAAGGCGGGUCUCUGGACAGUUCCUGACGCUGAGGCACGAAGGCCAGGGGAGCAAACGGG
rnacentral:rRNA from 1 species